UACGGAGGGGGCUAGCGUUGUUCGGAAUUACUGGGCGUAAAGCGCGCGUAGGCGGUGAUCCAUGUCAGAGGUGAAAGCCUGGGGCUCAACUCCAGAAUUGCCUUUGAAACGGGAUCGCUAGAGUCCGAGAGAGGAUGGCGGAAUUCCUAGUGUAGAGGUGAAAUUCGUAGAUAUUAGGAAGAACACCGGUGGCGAAGGCGGCCAUCUGGCUCGGUACUGACGCUCAGGCGCGAAAGCGUGGGGAGCAAACAGG
rnacentral:rRNA from 1 species